GACGAACGCCGGCGGCGUGCUUAACACAUGCAAGUCGAACGGAAAGGCCCUGCUUUUGUGGGGUGCUCGAGUGGCGAACGGGUGAGUAACACGUGAGUAACCUGCCCUUGACUUUGGGAUAACUUCAGGAAACUGGGGCUAAUACCGGAUAGGAGCUCCUGCUGCAUGGUGGGGGUUGGAAAGUUUCGGCGGUUGGGGAUGGACUCGCGGCUUAUCAGCUUGUUGGUGGGGUAGUGGCUUACCAAGGCUUUGACGGGUAGCCGGCCUGAGAGGGUGACCGGCCACAUUGGGGCUGAGAUACGGCCCAGACUCCUACGGGAGGCAGCAGUGGGGAAUAUUGCACAAUGGGCGGAAGCCUGAUGCAGCAACGCCGCGUGCGGGAUGACGGCCUUCGGGUUGUAAACCGCUUUCGCCUGUGACGAAGCGUGAGUGACGGUAAUGGGUAAAGAAGCACCGGCUAACUACGUG
rnacentral:rRNA from 1 species